UACGGGGGGAGCAAGCGUUGUUCGGAUUUACUGGGCGUAAAGGGCGCGUAGGCGGCGUGACAAGUCACUUGUGAAAUCUCCGGGCUUAACUCGGAACGGUCAAGUGAUACUGUCGUGCUAGAGUACAGAAGGGGCAACUGGAAUUCUCGGUGUAGCGGUGAAAUGCGUAGAUAUCGAGAGGAACACCUGCGGCGAAGGCGGCAUCCUGGACCAAAUAUUGACGCUGAGGAGCGAAAGCCAGGGGAGCAAACGGG
rnacentral:rRNA from 1 species